rnacentral:rRNA from 1 species
AGUGAACGCUGGCGGUAGGCCUAACACAUGCAAGUCGAACGGCAGCACAGUAAGGGCUUGCUCUUACGGGUGGCGAGUGGCGGACGGGUGAGGAAUACAUCGGAAUCUACUUUUUCGUGGGGGAUAACGUAGGGAAACUUACGCUAAUACCGCAUACGACCUACGGGUGAAAGCAGGGGAUCUUCGGACCUUGCGCGAUUGAAUGAGCCGAUGUCGGAUUAGCUAGUUGGCGGGGUAAAGGCCCACCAAGGCGACGAUCCGUAGCUGGUCUGAGAGGAUGAUCAGCCCCACUGGAACUGAGACACGGUCCAGACUCCUACGGGAGGCAGCAGUGGGGAAUAUUGGACAAUGGGCGCAAGCCUGAUCCAGCCAUACCGCGUGGGUGAAGAAGGCCUUCGGGUUGUAAAGCCCUUUUGUUGGGAAAGAAAAGCAGCAGGUUAAUACCCCGCUGUUCUGACGGUACCCAAAGAAUAAGCACCGGCUAACUUCGUG